rnacentral:rRNA from 1 species
UACGAAGGGGGCUAGCGUUGCUCGGAAUCACUGGGCGUAAAGCGCACGUAGGCGGCUUUCUAAGUCGAACGUGAAAUCCCCGGGCUCAACCCGGGAACUGCGUCGGAUACUGGAUGGCUUGAAUUCGGGAGAGGGAUGCAGAAUUCCAGGUGUAGCGGUGAAAUGCGUAGAUAUCUGGAGGAAUACCGGUGGCGAAGGCGGCAUCCUGGACCGACAUUGACGCUGAGGAGCGAAAGCUAGGGGAGCAAACGGG